AAUAGAUACCCGGGUAGUCCACGCCGUAAACGAUGAGUGCUAAGUGUUAGAGGGUUUCCGCCCUUUAGUGCUGCAGCUAACGCAUUAAGCACUCCGCCUGGGGAGUACGGCCGCAAGGCUGAAACUCAAAGGAAUUGACGGGGGGCCCGCACAAGCGGUGGAGCAUGUGGUUUAAUUCGAAGCAACGCGAAGAACCUUACCAGGUCUUGACAUCCUCUGACCUCCCUGGAGACAGGGCCUUCCCCCUUCGGGGGACAGAGUGACAGGUGGUGCAUGGUUGUCGUCAGCUCGUGUCGUGAGAUGUUGGGUUAAGUCCCGCAACGAGCGCAACCCUUGACCUUAGUUGCCAGCAUUCAGUUGGGCACUCUAAGGUGACUGCCGGUGACAAACCGGAGGAAGGUGGGGAUGACGUCAAAUCAUCAUGCCCCUUAUGACCUGAGCUACACACGUGCUACAAUGGAUGGUACAAAGGGCUGCAAGACCGCGAGGUUAAGCCAAUCCCAAAAAACCAUUCCCAGUUCGGAUUGCAGGCUGCAACCCCG
rnacentral:rRNA from 1 species